UCUUUGCUGACAAUAAGCAGGUGAUUGUUUCUAAAGAUUAGCCAAAGGUAAGGGAUAUUUUGGUGGCUAAACUGCUGAUUUCUAAUGUGUUUUAUCAUGUUUGCAAAUCUCCUGUGAGAGCUAUUAAAAUCACAGUCCUCUGCUUUCACAUAGCAACAAAGAGCAACUUUAAAAACAGCCAAGAACAACAGGAGAACGAACGCUCUCAAACACCUGAGGGGGAAAAAAAAAAAUAAAUCUGCGCUUGUUUAGACUCGGACAAUCAGAGCUCUUUUAUGGGAAGUUUCCAGGGCAGCUUUGAAGUGUGAUGGCUGCACAGCCUCUGUGUUUUCCUGCUGAAAGAGGAAGGACUUUUUUUUUUUUUUUUGUAAAACAACAUUUCCUUUAAUACUCUGAAACCUCGAUUCCUCAGAUGCUCUGGUGUCGUCCUCUGAACAUGACAAAUAAAAGGGACGACUUAAGAGAGGAAGAAAAGAGCUGGCUUGACAGUGACGGGUGCGGUGGAGGUGAGCGUGUGAAGGAACAUCAGAAGAAACCCAGGCAAGGAGGUGUCUUUCCCUGUCAGAGCCCCAUUCCACUGCUCUCAGGGGAUCUGUGGCAUUUCCUGCCAGCCGGACUGCCCUGUUCUGCAGAGACUUAUGCAUCACUGUCAAAAUGACUCCGAUCAAAAAGAGGGAGUGGGAGAAGGUAGGGAGGGAGAAGGGAAGGGGGGGAGAGGCUGACUCGAUCAGAGCAACACAAGGCGAUUUCCCCCCAUUGGACGUUCCGCCUGUCAGUGCGUCCGCUUUGGUAAUCCAUCAGUAUGAGCUGGUGAUCAAUAAAGGGAGUGGUGAAA